rnacentral:misc_RNA from 1 species
UCCGAGUUGACCCCGGCAGUCUCCUACGAGUCCCCGGCAUUACCCGCUGGCAACAUAGGAUAAGGGUUGCGCUCGUUGCGCCACGUAAGGCAACACCUCACGACACGAGCUGACGACAGCCAUGCAGCACCUGUGUUACGGCUCCCUUUCGGGCACACCUCCCUCUCGAGAGGCUUCCGUACAUGUCAAGGGUAGGUAAGGUUUUUCGCGUUGCAUCGAAUUAAUCCACAUCAUCCACCGCUUGUGCGGGUCCCCGUCAAUUCCUUUGAGUUUUAACCUUGCGGCCGUACUCCCCAGGCGGUCAACUUCACGCGUUAGCUUCGUUACCAAGGAAUUGCUUCCCCGACAACCAGUUGACAUAGUUUACGGCGUGGACUAC